CAGCAAAGGAAUGAGCUGUUUGGGGCUAGAGACAAGGAACACCAACCUGUUUGAGGAGAGCAGCUGGGAAAGGCCAGGAGAGGAAGCGAAGAACCUAGCCAAGGAGCUGAUUCAGGGAUCCUAAAUGCUGCCGAGGGGUAUGAUGCUGUGAAUAUACUUAACGCCUUAGAAAUAUACAUGUCCUAGAUUAAUUUAUGUCAACUUGACACACGCUAAAGUCAUCUGAGAGGAGGGAACCUCAAUUUAAAAAAAUACUUCCACAAGAUUGAGUCGUAGACAAGCCUGUAAGGCAUUUUCUUAAUUGUGAUUGGUGGGAAGGGCCCAAUGCACUGUGGGUGGUUCUAUCCCUGGGCUGAUGGUCCUGGGUUCUAUAGGAAAGCAGUGAGCAAGCCAUGAUGAACAAGCCAGUAAGCAG